rnacentral:rRNA from 1 species
UGGGGAAUAUUGCACAUUGGGCGCAAGCCUGAUGCAGCCAUGCCGCGUGUGUGAAGAAGGCCUUCGGGUUGUAAAGCACUUUCAGCGAGGAGGAAGGGUAGUGUGUUAAUAGCACAUUGCAUUGACGUUACUCGCAGAAGAAGCACCGGCUAACUCCGUGCCAGCAGCCGCGGUAAUACGGAGGGUGCAAGCGUUAAUCGGAAUUACUGGGCGUAAAGCGCACGCAGGCGGUUUGUUAAGUCAGAUGUGAAAUCCCCGCGCUUAACGUGGGAACUGCAUUUGAAACUGGCAAGCUAGAGUCUUGUAGAGGGGGGUAGAAUUCCAGGUGUAGCGGUGAAAUGCGUAGAGAUCUGGAGGAAUACCGGUGGCGAAGGCGGCCCCCUGGACAAAGACUGACGCUCAGGUGCGAAAGCGUGGGGAGCAAACA